rnacentral:rRNA from 1 species
CCUACGGGAGGCAGCAGUAGGGAAUAUUGCUCAAUGGGGGAAACCCUGAAGCAGCAACGCCGCGUGGAGGAUGAAGGUUUUCGGAUUGUAAACUCCUUUUGUUAGAGAAGAUAAUGACGGUAUCUAACGAAUAAGCACCGGCUAACUCCGUGCCAGCAGCCGCGGUAAUACGGAGGGUGCAAGCGUUACUCGGAAUCACUGGGCGUAAAGAGCGCGUAGGCGGGAUAGCAAGUCAGAUGUGAAAUCCUAUGGCUUAACCAUAGAAUUGCAUUUGAAACUGUUAUUCUAGAGUAUGGGAGAGGUAGGUGGAAUUCGUGGUGUAGGGGUAAAAUGCGUAGAGAUCAAGAGGAAUACUGAUGGCGAAGGCGACCUGCUAGAACGUAACUGACGCUGAGGCGCGAAAGCGUGGGGAGCAAACAGGAUUAGAUACCCCUGUAGUC